CCCCCAAUUUUUUCCCCCUCCUCAUCUCCUCUCCCGUGCUCCUCCAUCUUCCCUCUCCCUCCCACCUCCGGCUGAAAGCCACCCACCGGCGACCAUCAAAACCCAACCUUCGAGCACCGGUGACCACGCCGCCCAACCUCCGGGGACCUCAGAUCUGGUUUUCAUCCAAAAAAUCAUCCCUCCAUCUCCAUCUUCCCUCUCCCCCUCCCAACGUCGCCCAUCGACAACCACACCUACCUAACCUCCGAGCACCAGUGAUCACGCCGACCCAAUCUCCGGUGACCUCAGAUCUGGUACUAGCCCUAGAUUUCCCCUAAAUUUCAGGUGCACCUACAAAUUCUCAGCUACAGAACGUGCAUGUUGAGUGUUAACUAUUGAAAAGCCAGCUCAAGAAGAUUACAUUCCUUUCUUAUAACAAGCAGCAUCUACAUAUGCCUCAUGGUGAAGAUGAACAAGCAACGUCUAUAUUUAAAAAUAUGUAGUACAUUUUUAUUGGUUUGAUAUGAAUUUGCAAUGGUAUAUUUAUUGGAAUGUUGGGCUGUUUAAAAUUGUAUUGUGUUUCUUUUUGUGGGUAUUGAUAAGAUGCAAAGGUCGCAGCAUGAGCUCUGUGACUAUUGGUUAUUGUUUCCUGUACAUCAAAGGUCUCAGAUUUGUAUGUUGGUUGUUAUGUACACGCUUAAUGUAAUUUGAGAACUACAUGAUUGGUGGAAUAGAGUGGAUCGACUUUUUCUA